UCUCUCUCUCUCUCUGGCUCCGUCUCUCUCUCUCUCUCUCUCUCUCUCUAACGCAAGAUCUCUGGUGCAUCAAGAGAGAUGACGGCUUACUAGAAUUCCCUCACGGUUUCUCGAAACGCGUCAGUGUGCAUCACGCGGGACUUAUUUCAUAGCUUGGGCUUUUAUUGACGAGACCAGUUGGCAUAUCGUAACCUUUGUUGAGUCAAGGUACCAAUUUUACAUUUGAAAAAUGUCACGCGUAGCCAGCAAACAAACGUAAAGGUUGAGUUGAGUUUAUUUCUUCUGUAGCGUCAUACACAAAUCAAGGUGCCCGACUCCCACGCGUUUAUGAAAACAACAACAACACAAACAUACAGUGAUGCAGACAUUCCCAAAUGUCUCCAACAAAAGGAGCCCUGCUAUGCCGCAACCGAGCCCGUAACUGAAACGGAGCCAAACAAAGUGGCUGACACGCAAAGAAAGAAGGAAAAAAAGCAAAAACU